GCUUAACGCGAAGAACCUUACCAGGCCUUGACAUGCAGAGAACUUUCCAGAGAUGGAUUGGUGCCUUCGGGAACUCUGACACAGGUGCUGCAUGGCUGUCGUCAGCUCGUGUCGUGAGAUGUUGGGUUAAGUCCCGUAGCGAGCGCAACCCGUUGUCCUUAGUUACCAGCACGUCAUGGUGGGCACUCUAAGGAGACUGCCGGUGACAAACCGGAGGAAGGUGGGGAUGACGUUAAGUCAUCGAUGGCCCUUAGGCCUGGGCUACACACGUGCUACAAUGGUCGGUACAGAGGGUUGCCAAGCCGCGAGGUGGAGCUAAUCUCACAAAACCGAUCGUAGUCCGGAUCGCAGUCUGCAACUCGACUGCGUGAAGUCGGAAUCGCUAGUAAUCGCGAAUCAGAAUGUCGCGGUGAAUACGUU
rnacentral:rRNA from 1 species